rnacentral:lncRNA from 1 species
AUGGCUAUAAUUAACCUUCUCCUACUUAUUAUCCCCACUCUUAUUGCUAUAGCAUUCCUUACACUCAUCGAAUGAAAAAUCUUAGGCUAUACACAACUAUGCAAAGGACCCAAAAUUGUAGGUCCCUAUGGGCUGCUUCAGCCAUUCGCUGAUGGAAUAAAACUUUUCACCAAAGAACCCUUAUGGCCCUCAACAUCCACUAUUACCCUUUAUGUUACUGCUUCAACACUAGCCCUUUCCAUUGCUCUCCUUUUAUGAACUCCCCUGCCUAUACCAGAUCGUCUAAUUAAUUUUAAUAUAGGCCUCCUAUUUAUACUAGCAACAUCAAGCCAGGCUGUCUACUCUAUGAUCAGAAUGAGCAUCUAAUUCAAAAUAUGCACUGAUCAGUGCAUUACCAGCUGUGGCCCAGACAAUUUCAUAUAAGGUCACCCUAGCCAUUAUCCUGCUAUCAGUUCUACUGAUAAGCAGCUCAUUUAACUUAUACACACUCAUCACAAUGCAAGAAUUCCUCUGACUGCUCCUACCGUCAUGGCCCCUAGCCAUAAUAUGAUUCAUCUCCACACUAGCAGAAACUAACCGAGCACCUUUUGAUCUAGCAGAAGGAGAGUCAGAGUUAGUCUCAGCCUUCAACAUCGAAUACGCCACAGGUCAUUUGCCCUCUUCUUUAUAGCAGAAUAUAUGAAUAUUAUCAUAAUAAAUGCCUUAACUACUACUAUUUUCCUAGGAGCACUACACACUAUAUAUUCACCAGAACUCUACACCACAAAUUUCAUUACCAAGACCCUUCUUUUAACCACUCUAUUUUUAUGAAUUCGAAUGGCAUACCCUCGAUUCCACUAUGACCAACUCAUACAUCUUUUAUGAAAAAACUUCCUACCACUUACGCUAGCAUUUUGCAUAUGAUAUAUCUCAAUGCUUGUCCUAAUUUCCAGCAUCCCACCCCAAACAUAG